AUUUAACUAAAGAAUGAGACCAAUAACUGCCAAAUAAGGUCUGCAAGACUUAGAGACUAAAGAACACUGCAUGAUGCUUGAGAAGUAUUGGACAAGAGUUAUCUACUCAUAGAUUGACACAUCUUAAUAACUGUCAGGUGAGAUGCUGUGUCAAUCAGUGGGACCGCAAUAUCCACUUAAAAUCCUAGUCAUGAAAGAAUUUUAUUUCUCCACUUGAAGAGUGUGGA
rnacentral:lncRNA from 1 species